GUAGUUACCAAGUUCCCUCAGAUGAAGGAAGGGAGAACCCUAAUCUGAAGAGGGGAGGUCUGAAGUGGACAGGAACAGUAUCAAGGAGACCACAGGAGGCAAAACAUUAAAAGUUGAAGAAACAGCAUAAAUAACAGAAGACUGAAACUAAGCUGAUUGGAUCAAGGACAGACACCUGACCAAGGACAGUCACGCUGUGCUUUAUGUCCCGGCAGAAAAAGGCUCUGAUUUGUAUCCUAAAGGAGUAGUCCAACGGAAAUAGGCAAAUGCCAGCAAUGGGAGAAGAAUUAGACUCCACUUCUUGAUGAGAGAGUGAGAGAAGAACCUGAAACAAGGGCUUUAUGCAUAUGUUGCUAAAUCCAGUGGGACCAUCUGAGAAACCAUAUAAAAUGCAUAUCAGGUCUGUCCAUCCCAGGAGAGAAAGGGAUGGCCCCUGACUGCCGGAAUCUACUUUUUUCCACUGUGGUAGAAGUAUUUGGGGACUUAUAUCCUUCCAGGAGUAGUUCUUAUCCAAUCACUGAUAGGUUCAGGGGUUUAAAUAUUUCAGCCAUUGUGGCUUGAUCAGGAUAAGUCUGAGGUGUGAUCCACACUGUUUAGAGAUAUCCUCUAUGGGACAGAGACAAAGUUACCCUCCAUGAAACUUUGCUUUAUAAUAUACCCCUCCUUAGCCUUCUUACCUUACUAGUCCUAUUUCCUUGCUACACACCCCAUGCCCCUGAUUUUCCUGGGAAAAUUUUCUAUUAAUCGUGUUCACAUGAGUCAUCUUCCGAGAGUCUGUUUCUGGGGAAUACAACUUAAGGCAGAGAUAUAACAAUAAGAAUUUUAAUCUUCUUCCCAGAAAGCAAUGGGAAGAAUAAAGGGAAGAUCAGUCAUCCUGUUCUAUCUUCUUAAAUUUGAGCUUUCUCCACUGACAUGUCUCAGAUGUGCUUGGGAGGAAAAUCAACUCAUUUUGGACAUCCAGAUUCAUUCAGGAAAUUGGCAAUAUAUAUCUGGACUACAGGAAAGAGGUCAGAGCCAGAGAUAUAUUAAAUUAAAACAAGCUGGGUUGUAAACUCAUAGUGUAUGAGAGUUAUGCUGAUUUACUUUUCUAUGAACUACUUGCCCAUCCUCACCUAAUUUUAAAAUUCAGUACAGCUGUGAUUUUCAUCAAAUGUUUAUGAUCCUAUUAUAGGAUAUAUUUUUAGCCUUAAUAAAAGGAAGUUGAUAAAGCUUCAU
rnacentral:lncRNA from 1 species